ensembl:lncRNA
ACGUUCCCAAAGAAAUGUCCCCCCCCGCCGUUCCCAAAGCAAUGCCCCCCCCAAAAAAAAAUUCAUUACACAUCACACCUUUUAUACUGUUGCCAUGCCCAUCAAGGCCCUGAUUGGUGAACCGCUGACCCAUUCAUAGCUUAUAACAUACAGUAUUUUCAACUGACAAACAUGAUUACAUUUUCAUUUACCCUGAAAUGAUUAUUCAACAUGUCCUCUCCUGGGAUUUGAACUCACAACCACUUGGUUUGCGGUACUCCGAUCUUCCUGCUACGCCACCAUGACUGUGUAAGUUGUAGGCCCUAACAGCUUUAUGUAGGCCCUAACAGCUCUAAGUAGGCCCUGACAGCUUUAUGUCGGUCCUAACAGCUCUACGUAGGCCCUAACAGCUUUAUGUAGGCCCUAACAGCUUUAUGUCGGCCCUGACAGCUUUAUGUAGGCCCUAACAGCUUUAUGUCGGCCCUAACAGCUUUAUGUAGGCCCUAACAGCUCCAUGUAGGCCCUAACAGUUUGUGGGCACCGUUUGUCACCGUUAUAGUGUAAUUAAUGCAUUGUUUAGUGUUGUGUAGUGGCUUUGCUGGCAUGCAUCUAAAACAAUUUUUUGGGAGUUUGCCCCACCAAGAUUUACAUGCUAAAAUCGCCACUGAUUACCAUGUAUAUUAAACUAUGGUGAAUCGCUGUAUGUUUCAAUGCUGUAUGUACCAUCAGUGCCACAUCUGUUUUGAGCCCCACCUGUUUAGCAAAAACAAUAUAUAUGUUUUGCCUUUUUUUAAUGUUAUUUUAUCACAUAACAGUUUGCAAACAAUGUACAAAAGAAAGAGUUAAUAAAG